GACGAACGCUGGCGGCGUGCUUAACACAUGCAAGUCGAACGGAAAGGCCCUGCUUUUGUGGGGUGCUCGAGUGGCGAACGGGUGAGUAACCCGUGAGUAACCUGCCCUUGACUUUGGGAUAACUUCAGGAAACUGGGGCUAAUACCGGAUAGGAGCUCCUGCUGCAUGGUGGGGGUUGGAAAGUUUCGGCGGUUGGGGAUGGACUCGCGGCUUAUCAGCUUGUUGGUUGGGUAGUGGCUUACCAAGGCUUUGACGGGUCGGCGGCCUGAGAGGGUGACCGGCCACAUUGGUACUGCGGGACGGCCCAGACGGCAACGGGACGCAGCGGGGGGGAAUAUUGCACAGUGGGCGGAAGUCAGAUGCAGCAACGCCGCGUGCGGGAUGACGGCCUUCGGGGUGUAAACCGCUUUCGCCGGUGACGAAGCGUGAGUGACGGUAAUGGGUAAAGAAGCACCGGCUAACUACGUG
rnacentral:rRNA from 1 species